rnacentral:rRNA from 1 species
UACGUAGGGUGCAAGCGUUGCCCGGAUUUAUUGGGCGUAAAGGGCGCGUAGGCGGCUCUGCACGUUCGUUGUGAAAUCGCCCGGCUCAACUGGGCGGGGUCAGCGGAUACGGCAGAGCUUGAGCAAGCUAGGGGGCAAUGGAAUUCCCGGUGUAGUGGUGGAAUGCGCAGAUAUCGGGAGGAACACCAAUGGCGAAGGCAGCUCGCUGGGACGGUACUGACGCUGAGACGCGAAAGCGUGGGGAGCAAACAGG